CAACUUUCAACAACGGAUCUCUUGGCUCUCGCAUCGAUGAAGAACGCAGCGAAAUGCGAUAAGUAAUGUGAAUUGCAGAAUUCAGUGAAUCAUCGAAUCUUUGAACGCACCUUGCGCCCCUUGGUAUUCCGAGGGGCAUGCCUGUUUGAGUGUCACUA
rnacentral:rRNA from 1 species